GCUUGUCUCAAAGAUUAAGCCAUGCAUGUCUAAGUAUAAGCGACUAUACUGUGAAACUGCGAAUGGCUCAUUAAAUCAGUUAUGGUUUAUUUGAUGGUACCUACUACUUGGAUAACCGUAGUAAUUCUAGAGCUAAUACAUGCAGGAAGACCCGACUCACGAAGGGUUGUAUUUAUUAGAUAAGAAACCUUCCCCUUUGGGUUGCGUGCCGAGUCACAAUAACUGCUCGAAUCGCAUGGCUUCACGCCGGCGAUGGUUCAUUCAAAUUUCUGCCCUAUCAACUUUCGACGGUAGGAUAGAGGCCUACUGUGGUGAUAACGGGUAACGAAGAAUAAGGGUUCGAUUUCGGAGAGGGAGCCUGAGAAACGGCUACCACAUCCAAGGAAGGCAGCAGG
rnacentral:rRNA from 1 species